GUCCACGCCGUAAACGAUGUCAACUAGCCGUUGGUCCUAUUUACAGGAUUAGUGGCGCAGCUAACGCAUUAAGUUGACCGCCUGGGGAGUACGGCCGCAAGGUUAAAACUCAAAUGAAUUGACGGGGCCCGCACAAGCGGUGGAGCAUGUGGUUUAAUUCGAUGCAACGCGAAGAACCUUACCUACCCUUGACAUCCAGAGAAUCUGUUAGAGAUAGUAGAGUGCCUUCGGGAGCUCUGAGACAGGUGCUGCAUGGCUGUCGU
rnacentral:rRNA from 1 species